rnacentral:misc_RNA from 1 species
GUUUUUUUUUUUUUUUUAUUCUAUUGAGCCAUUCAAACUGAAGUCAUAUUUGAUUGAAACCUUAAACAUUUUGAUUUGCUGCUAUUAAGAACUAAUUUAACAUAAAAAAAUAUAAUUUGCAUGCAAUUCUCUUAAGAACGAUUGAGGACCUAAUGUCAUAUAAUAAAACCUUCAUACAUUGACGUUACGAACAUAUCAUAUUUACAAUUUUUAAUGCAUUAGUUUUUCUAUAUUUAGGCAUUAGGAACAAGUAUUAAAAUGUUCAAAAAUUUCAGAAAUUUCUAUAACUACCCAAUAUUGUAUUCGUUGCAAUAAAAUUAGUACUCAUUAGCACCAAUUCAAAUAAUUUAAGGAUCCAUUAUAACACUUAUUUAGUUGGAGGUUUUAUAGCAAAAUUCCCAAAGUUCAAGACUGCAACGGAUUUUGCCAAUUUCUUUCUUAAUUCUUCGUCACUGCCACCAUCACCACUACCAUCAUCUCUGUGUGUGCGUGGAUGUAAUGAUUCAUAUUUUUGUUUCUUGUCGGGAGCAUCUAAUGUGUGUCAUUUUACUAUGUCACUGUUUAUGGUAAUGUGGAAGUUUGUUUAUUUAUUAAUUUAUUGAUCAGUGAUUAUGUGUGCUUAAAGUAAAAUUAUUUAUAUAAAUAGUCAAUGACUUUUGCUGUGAGUUAUGGUGCUGCCCUAACCAAUUUUCAGUUUCAGAUGAUAUUUGAUGAAAAGAGUUUAUCAAUUCCAUGUAAAAGACACGUGUUAACUAGUCAUAUCCGUUAUAGAAUAAAAUGAUCUUAAUUUUGCACAAUCUGACUCCAAAUAGUUUGGGAUUAAGACUUAGUUG